GAUGAACGCUAGCGGCGUGCCUAACACAUGCAAGUCGAACGUGAGAGGGUACUUGUAUCCUUGAAAGUGGCGGACGGGUGAGUAAGACGUAGGUGACCUGCCUUGAAGUGGGGGAUAACCAUUGGAAACGAUGGCUAAUACCGCAUAAGCUGGUGAUGAUGGGAAUCGUUAUCAGGAAAGCUUUAGUGCUUUGAGAGGGGCCUACGGCCGAUUAGCUAGUUGGUGAGGUAAAGGCUCACCAAGGCGAUGAUCGGUAGCUGGUCUGAGAGGACGAUCAGCCACACGGGAACUGAGACACGGUCCCGACUCCUACGGGGGGCAGCAGUGAGGAAUAUUCGGCAAUGGGGGCAACCCUGACCGAGCAACGCCGCGUGGAGGAUGACGGUUUUCGGAUUGUAAACUCCUUUUCUUCAGGGAAGAGCGAGGACGGUACCUGAGGAAUAAGUUCACGGCUAACUACGUG
rnacentral:rRNA from 1 species